GGGCGAGCGGCUGCAGGGACCCGCCACAGACCGCCUCGCCUCGCUCAAGCAAGCCUUCCGCUCGCAGUAUAACCAGUUCACUGCGUCAACUGACCACUCGUGGGAACAGACGCUUACAUCUAUCCAGCCCGGAGUGAACGCGCCCGCCGCAGAGACUGCGCCUGCGCAGCCUGAAUCCAAAGCUGAGAGAGUCAGGAAGAGUGGCAAGAGGAGUCGGUGGGAGUAGACAGGAGAGAGGGGACUGCACAGAAAGGCUACUUAUUGAUUACUACUGAUUGUUUAGUUGUGUUGGAAAUAAUGUGUCAAUGAUCUAAUAAACAUUUAGACGGAUGUUAGGAACAAUAGGAGAAAUGUUUACAUUAAAAAUAAAUCGUAAAUGAUUUGAAAUUGAAGGUAAUUAAUAAUAAAGAGGGUAGAUAGAAAGGUCUUUGUGACGGAUUGGUUUUACAAUUUAAUGGUUGUAUAGUGCCUCGCUCUUUAAAAUGUACGAAAUUGUAAUAUUAAAAAAAAUUAGUUUGAUUAUCACUUAUUAUGGACUCUUUGGACUUUACUAGAAGUAUUUCUUAUUAUUAGAUGUGCGUUUUUAUUACCUUUUUUUAUUAUAAUCGUCUAAUUUAUAGCAAAGAGUA